rnacentral:rRNA from 1 species
UACGUAGGUGGCAAGCGUUGUCCGGAAUUACUGGGCGUAAAGGGCGCGCAGGCGGACUUUUAAGUCAGGUGUGAAAUAUGCAGGCUUAACCUGUAGUUUGCAUUUGAAACUGGGAGUCUUGAGUGCAGGAGAGGGGCAGUGGAAUUCCUAGUGUAGCGGUGAAAUGCGUAGAUAUUAGGAGGAACACCAGUGGCGAAGGCGGCUGCCUGGACUGUAACUGACGCUGAGGCGCGAAAGCGUGGGGAGCAAACAGGAUUAGAUACCCU